UACGUAGGGGGCAAGCGUUGUCCGGAUUUAUUGGGCGUAAAGAGCGUGUAGGCGGCCAGGUAGGUCCGUUGUGAAAACUCGAGGCUCAACCUCGAGACGCCGGUGGAAACCAUCAGACUAGAGUCCGGAAGAGGAGAGUGGAAUUCCUGGUGUAGCGGUGAAAUGCGCAGAUAUCAGGAAGAACACCCGUGGCUAAGGCGGCUCUCUAGUACGGUACUGACGCUGAGACGCGAAAGCGUGGGGAGCGAACAGG
rnacentral:rRNA from 1 species